UUAAAAAAGUAUAUUUAUUUUUAUUUUAUGCUGCUCUGUGACUGUAGUGCCCAAGGAGGGCAGAAGAGGGCAUCAGGUACCCUUAGAGUUGAUAGUCCAAGGUGACUGUCAGCCACCUGACUGGGUGUUAAUAACUAGACUCAGAUUGUCUGCAAGAGCAGUGAGUUCUCUCAAUCCCUGGACCAUCUUUCUAGCCUCUCCUGUUUUUUCUCUUCGGUGCUGGGUCUCUCUACAUGCUGGGCAAGGGAUCUACCUCAGAGUUAAAACUCCAGCCCUCAGGCAGGGUGUGGUGGUGCACACCUUUCCUCCCAGAGCUUGGGAGGCAGAGGCAGUCUCUGAGUGUGAGGGGAGCCUGGGCGUAUGUAGUGAGUUCCGAGGUUACACAGAGACCCUGACUCAAAAACAAAUUCCAGCUCUCAUUUUUUUUUUUUAAACCUAUGGUCUAUUAUUGUCAUCCAUAGUCACCCUACCGCGACACUGUCACAUUUAGCAGGCACAGGGUUCUGAGAGGUUGGAGAACAGCCGUGCCCAGUCAAGGCCUUGUCAUCAGCCUUUCCUGACAGGCCCUACCUCACUUUUUAUUGCUGUUAUUUGUUUAUUUGUUAGUUUCUUCAAGACUGGGUUUCUCUGUGUAGCUCCGGCUGUUCUGGAAAUUGCUCUAUAGACUAGACUAGCCUUGAACUCAUGAAGAUCCGCCUGCCUCUGCCUUCUAGUGCUUGGAUUAAAGGUGUGGGCCACCACUGCCCGGCCCUGCUUCACU
rnacentral:lncRNA from 1 species